rnacentral:rRNA from 1 species
UUUUCCUACGGGGGGCAGCAGUGGGGGAUAUUGCACAAUGGGGGAAACCCUGAUGCAGCAACGCCGCGUGAGUGAAGAAGGUCUUCGGAUUGUAAAGCUCUGUUCUUGGUGAAGAUAAUGACGGUAGCCAAGGAGAAAGCUCCGGCUAACUACGUGCCAGCAGCCGCGGUAAUACGUAGGGAGCGAGCGUUGUCCGGAUUUAUUGGGUUUAAAGGGUGCGUAGGCGGAAUGCCAAGUCAGCGGUAAAAUCGCGGGGCUCAACCUCGCUCCGCCGUUGAAACUGGCGUUCUUGAGUGG